rnacentral:rRNA from 1 species
AACGAACGCUGGCGGCGUGGAUAAGACAUGCAAGUCGAACGGGACUAAAUCUGUAACAAUACAGGUUUAGUUUAGUGGCGAACGGGUGCGUAACACGUGGGCAAUCUGCCGAGAAGUGGGGGAUAGCUCGCCGAAAGGCGAAUUAAUACCGCAUAUGAUCAGUGAAGACAUCUUCACGACAUCAAAGCCGGGGCAACCUGGCGCUUCUUGAUGAGCCCGCGGCCUAUCAGCUAGUUGGUGAGGUAACGGCUCACCAAGGCUAUGACGGGUAGCUGGUCUGAGAGGACGACCAGUCACACUGGAACUGAGACACGGUCCAGACACCUACGGGUGGCAGCAGUCGAGAAUUUUUCUCAAUGGGGAAACCCUGAAGGAGCGACGCCGCGUGGAGGAUGAAGGCUUUCGGUUGU